rnacentral:tRNA from 1 species
GGGGAUCUAGCUCAGUUGGUAGAGCUCCUGCCUUGCAUGCACAAGGGCAUGGGUUCAAUCCCCAGCACCA